rnacentral:rRNA from 1 species
UCGAGGAUCUUCGGCAAUGGGCGGAAGCCUGACCGAGCGACGCCGCGUGUGCGAUGAAGGCCUUCGGGUUGUAAAGCACUGUCGGGGGGGAGAAAGGCGCAAGCUUGAUCGACCCCCGGAGGAAGCUCGGGCUAAGUUCGUGCCAGCAGCCGCGGUAAGACGAACCGAGCGAACGUUAUUCGGAAUCACUGGGCUUAAAGGGCGCGUAGGCGGGCGGUCAAGUCAGGGGUGAAAUCCUCCAGCUCAACUGGAGAAGUGCCUCUGAUACUGGCCGCCUCGAGGGAGGUAGGGGCGUGCGGAACUUCCGGUGGAGCGGUGAAAUGCGUAGAUAUCGGAAGGAACACCAGUGGCGAAAGCGGCGCGCUGGACCUCUUCUGACGCUGAGGCGCGAAAGCCAGGGGAGCAAACGG